GCGUGGACCGAAGGUCCGCGCGAACGUGGGAUUCAGGGUCCAGUCACGAAGGUGUUCGUGGGUUCGAAUCCCAUUCCCCGCA
rnacentral:tRNA from 1 species